rnacentral:rRNA from 1 species
UGGGUACUGAGACACGGACCCAGGCCCUAUGGGGCGCAGCAGGCGAGAAAACUUUGCAAUGUGCGAAAGCACGACAAGGUUAAUCCGAGUGAUUUCUGCUAAAGAAAUCUUUUGUUAGUCCUAGAAACACUAACGAAUAAGGGGUGGGCAAGUUCUGGUGUCAGCCGCCGCGGUAAAACCAGCACCUCAAGUGGUCAGGAUGAUUAUUGGGCCUAAAGCAUCCGUAGCCGGUUCUGUAAGUUUUCGGUUAAAUCUGUACGCUUAACGUACAGGCUGCCGGGAAUACUGCAGAACUAGGGAGUGGGAGAGGUAGACGGUACUCGGUAGGAAGGGGUAAAAUCCUUUGAUCUAUCGAUGACCACCUGUGGCGAAGGCGGUCUACCAGAACACGUCCGACGGUGAGGGAUGAAAGCUGGGGGAGCAAACCGGAUUAGAUACCCGGGUAGUCCCAGCUGUAAACUAUGCAAACUCAGUGAUGCGUUGGCUUGUGGCCAACGCAGUGCUGCAGGGAAGCCGUUAAGUUUGCCGCCUGGGAAGUACGUACGCAAGUAUGAAACUUAAAGGAAUUGGCGGGGGAGCACCACAAGGGGUGAAGCCUGCGGUUC